AUUGAACGCUGGCGGCAGGCCUAACACAUGCAAGUCGAGCGGUAGCACAGAGAGCUUGCUCUCGGGUGACGAGCGGCGGACGGGUGAGUAAUGUCUGGGAAACUGCCUGAUGGAGGGGGAUAACUACUGGAAACGGUAGCUAAUACCGCAUAACGUCGCAAGACCAAAGUGGGGGACCUUCGGGCCUCAUGCCAUCAGAUGUGCCAAGAUGGGAUCAGCGAGUAGGUGGGGUCAUGGCUCACAUGGGCGACGAUCCCUAGCUGGUCUGAGAGGAUGACCAGCCACACUGGAACAGAGAAACGGUCCAGACUCCGACGGGAGGCAGCAGUGGGGAAUAUUGCACAAUGGGCGCAAGCCUGAUUCAGCCAUGACGCGUGUAUGAAGAAGGCCGUCGGGUUGUAAAGGACUUUCAGCGGGGAGGAAGGUGUUGAGGUUAAUAACCUCAGCAAUUGACGUUACCCGCAGAAGAAGCACCGGCUAACUCCGUGCCAGCCGCCGCCGUAA
rnacentral:rRNA from 1 species